rnacentral:tRNA from 1 species
CAAAAUGUAGCUUAAUAAUAAAGCAUUUAGCUUACACCUAAAGAUUUCAGCAUAAUCUGACCAUUUUGA